UACGGAGGGGGCUAGCGUUGUUCGGAAUUGCUGGGCGUAAAGCGCACGUAGGCGGCGAUUUAAGUCAGAGGUGAAAGCCCGGGGCUCAACCCCGGAACAGCCUUUGAGACUGGAUUGCUUGAACAUCGGAGAGGUGAGUGGAAUUCCGAGUGUAGAGGUGAAAUUCGUAGAUAUUCGGAAGAACACCAGUGGCGAAGGCGGCUCACUGGACGAUUGUUGACGCUGAGGUGCGAAAGCGUGGGGAGCAAACAGG
rnacentral:rRNA from 1 species